rnacentral:rRNA from 1 species
AACGUAGGAGACAAACGUUAUCCGGAGUUACUGGGCGUAAAGGGCGUGUAGGUGGUUGCGUAAGUCUGGCGUGAAAUUUUUCGGCUUAACCGGGAAAGGUCGUCGGAUACUGCGUAGCUAGAGGACGGUAGAGGCGUGUGGAAUUCCGGGUGUAGUGGUGAAAUGCGUAGAGAUCGGCAGGAACACCCAGGGGGAAACCAGUCGACUGGGCAUCUACUGACGCUGAGGUGCGAGAGCGUGGGGAGCGAACCGG